rnacentral:lncRNA from 1 species
AGAGGUGGGCAUUCUCCGGUGGGAGGAGUGGCUGUGGAAGACGGGAGGCGGUGGUGUGGUGUGGUGAUGGCCGUGACCACGAGAUCGGAUUUUGGUCCAACGGGGGAAUCUCUGCGCUUGGCACGUCCAGACUCCUCGACAGGGUAAUUAGCAGCAAAUUGGGUGAAAAUAAAUUAGCUUGCAAAUAAUCAAGACACGGCUGCUCCAUGAAAAUGGAUAUACAAUAAUACAAUCUUAUAAAUUUUUUAUAUGGGACAGAAAAUAUAAAUAUCUUCUGGAACUAUGUCACUUGUCGCUUAAUUCACAGAGAACUCUCUCCACUAGCAUUGCUGUCUAAAAAUCAAAACAUUUUUUGGCUAGGCAAUGAUGCUACUACAUUAUGUAUUCUUAAUUAAGACAUUUGGGUUCUUUUGGUUUAAUGGCAGAGAUUAAACAAAAACUUUAGUGACAUCUUCAAUGUUAGUUGCGUAGGUGUUUAGAGACAGCGGCGGAAGCAGAAUCUUUUCGAGCCUAGAGCACAAACUGAAGCAUGAAACUACCCAUAUCAUGCCCUCACGCACCAAAAUACAGUAUAAUUAUGAUAAAAUCAAAUUAAAACUAUCCAUUGUACGAAAAAAUAUUAAUUAUAAUGACAUUGGCGGUCGAGAAGGCUCAUGGUUGCAGUUGCAACGGGUAAAAUUAAGGCCAGUUCAUCUAAUCAAUUAACAUCUUGUUGUUCUAACCUGUAAUUAAAUACUGAGAAGUGAUACACUGAGGAAGGGAAUGAAAUAAAGAGAAAAAGAAAGGGAAUUAACAUCUUCUUGUUCUUGGUAAUCAAAUCAAGAAAGGAAAAAAGAAGUCCGGCUACCGGCGCCUCCAUGGCCCCACUAUCUGCUUUGUGCUGCCAGCUUGCCGCAUCGAACCCGUUGGCCGCCGUUUGCCGCCAUGCACCUGCCGGCCGCCGGACACAAAGAGAGAGAGCUGGUAUGGAUAGCUAGCUAGGGUUUGGUAUUUUGGGCUACGCAAGACUGCUGAUGGGC